rnacentral:rRNA from 1 species
AGGACGAACGCUGGCGGCGUGCUUAACACAUGCAAGUCGAGCGAGGCCCUUCCUUCGGGAAGGUGCCCUAGCGGCGAACGGGUGAGUAACACGUGGGCAGCCUGCCCUAGCACUGGGAUAACUCCGGGAAACCGGGUCUAAUACCGGAUAUGACCUUCGAGGGCAUCCUUGAAGGUGUAAAGGAUUCUGGCUAGGGAUGGGCCCGCGGCCUAUCAGCUUGUUGGUGGGGUAAUGGCCUACCAAGGCGACGACGGGUA